rnacentral:rRNA from 1 species
AACGAACGCUGGCGGCAUGCCUAACACAUGCAAGUCGAACGAGACCUUCGGGUCUAGUGGCGCACGGGUGCGUAACGCGUGGGAACCUGCCCUUAGGUUCGGAAUAACUCCCCGAAAGGGGUGCUAAUACCGGUUAAUCUCUUCGCACCAAAGAUUUAUCGCCUUUGGAUGGGCCCGAGUUGGAUUAGCUAGUUGGUAGGGUAAAAGCCGACCAAGGCGACGAUCCAGAGCUGGUCUGAGAGCAUGAUCAGCCACACUGGGACUGAGACACGGCCCAGACUCCUACGGGAGGCAGCAGUGGGGAAUAUUGGACAAUGGGCGAAAGCCUGAUCCAGCAAGGCCGGGUGAGUGAUGAAGGCGUUAGGGUUGUAAAGCUCUUUUACCCGGGAUGAUAAUGACAGUACCGGGAGAAUAAGCUCCGGCUAAUUCCGU